UUUUGUUUCCCGAUAUCAAACAGAGUCGCGUGUUUCACGGCCUGUUCUUUAGUACCUCGUCAUGUGCACACCGAUUAUAUGAAAGAGCUACAGAAAUGAGUGUGAUCAUGUUAAACAGAGUUAUCAAUGCGAUAAGCAAAGGUAACCUCAAGGUCGAAAUACACUGUCUACAUCCCUACAUCUUUGUCACAGUUUAUAUUACUGUAUUACUGACAGUGAAAUCACAUACAAAUACUGUGCAUAAAUACGCAUUAUUACAAUUCAUGUAAUUAAAAUGUAACUGGAUGUCCAUUUCAUGAUGUUUCGCUGCUGAUUAUGUUUUCCAUGAUAAUACCGCUCUAGAGUCGUAUCUUCAAGUCUCAGACGAACUGCCACCUAUCCUAAUAGGAACUCAUUCGUGAUUAUCUCGUCCCCCUAGGCCAAAGACUGAGAGCUUCCUUCCAAAUAUCUAUCUAACAUUCGUCAUGCUUUGCAUAUCAUCAAAUAUUCGAAUGCAACGAAAUGACUGAAAAAAUCGGGGUGUGGCUGUGUCGGGGACACGGCCGUGGGUUUUACGUGAAUACGUCUGCGUUAGCGGGUAAUAUUUUCUUUGGGAUAUGGGAAUGAAAUGAAAGUAGCGAAAUGGAUACAUGGCUUUUAUUUAGCAUAACAAAUAUACAGAGUAUUGCUCGCGCCGUCGUUUGCCGCGCGCGCCGCGUCGACUUUCCGACGUUCCCGAAGCCGUCUCACUCGUUCCGCCACGGACAUGGCGGUACUGAUCGAUGGCUGAUUAGACGCCCUUUCCGAUGAGAUGCGUUUCUUGUAUUUCCUCUGGGCUUUUCGGUGAGUAUGGGCCGACAUCAGAAAGUUUAAAUUUUUCAAGACUUAUUUUUGAUUUGUCACCAACAAAUAUUUUACAAGUUUUUAUGGCUUAAAUCGACAGAUCUAGACGAGAUCUUUCGUUUGGCACCAAAAGCAGCGCGCUAGCUCAUUGGAGUCACGAGAUAUACUGCCCGGAAAUUUUCGCCCACGCCCCCCGCGCAUGCGCGGCGCCAACUCAAGGUCAUGCUCGCAUCGUAGUCGUAUAUCCGAUCGAACGUGACCACAUUUAUUUUAAUCGUGUUAUUAUUCACGAAGUUAUAGUGUCGUAAUGGAUCACCCUGCAAACGUUACAUCGCCAUUUCCGUCCUGGUACCCCAUACGUCGGUCUGAUUUUAAAGACGUAUUCACGUCAAAAACUAAGAGGCGAUAGAUAACAUGUGAGGAAAUCGAAAGCCACAGACCAGACCACGGUGUGCAUUCUUGCGCCCGUCGAUAGAUGGAAGCAGCAUACAUGGAUUCAAUGCAAUACUUCACGUCAGAUGGCAACGAGAGAGUAACUACACAAUAUUAGAGUCCGGCCGGACAGUAAACGGACAGUCUUUGUUCACGUCGGGCCGUUAAAAAAGUCCUACGUUUUAUUUUCGUUUUGACGGCAGCAGUGUUAUUUUUAAUGUGGAUUAUCUGCACCAAAUAACAAACAAGUGGCUGAAAACUGGUUGAACACAAACAAGAAAAAUUGACAGUGGAACCACGGUUCCGGAGAAUCUCACGUAAAUACGUCUCUGUAUAAAGGAUAUACAUGCUUUACAAUUGAUUCUUCUUGGUCAUCUUUCUGGUUCGGUUGCAAUCUCUGGGUCUGCAUGUCUUACAUCAGUGAAAUACCCAGUUCCAUUCUGAAAGAGACCGGCAAUCAGUGUUCUUCAGGCCUAUCAAAAAAAUACCAGUGUAUUAACUUACACUGGACGACUACCGUAGCAAAAUACAUGCAAUAUCUUGUAUUAAUCGGCUAAACAACCAUACUGCAGAUAUUCAUCAGUUUUUUGCAUGCUACAAAUAAACAUGGUGACGAUGCGAAAUCUGUCAUUAAAGACAAUUAUAAGCGGCUCUACGUCUGUAACUUGUAUAAUUAUUGAAAUUGUAUCAUCCACUAAAAAUUCAAUGUAUCUGAAGGUUAAUAAAAUAUAAUUUUUAAUA